rnacentral:rRNA from 1 species
ACGCUCGACACCUACGGGAGCAGCAGUGGGGAAUAUUGCACAAUGGGGGAAACCCUGAUGCAGCAACGCCGCGUGAGUGAAGAAGUAUUUCGGUAUGUAAAGCUCUAUCAGCAGGGAAGAUAAUGACGGUACCUGACUAAGAAGCUCCGGCUAAAUACGUGCCAGNCGCGUAGUAUGNGNGGCGNGNGAGAG